GCUAUGCCCGAUCUCGUCUGAUCUCGGAAGCUAAGCAGGAUUCGGCCUGGUUAGUACUUGAAUGGGAGACUGCCUGGGAAUACCAGGUGCUGUAAGCUU
rnacentral:rRNA from 2 species